GAGUUUGAUCGUGGCUCAGAUUGAACGCUGGCGGCAUGCCUUACACAUGCAAGUCGAACGGCAGCACGGGAGCUUGCUCCUGGUGGCGAGUGGCGAACGGGUGAGUAAUGCAUCGGAACGUAUCCUGGAGUGGGGGGAUAACGUAGCGAAAGUUACGCUAAUACCGCAUAUUCUGUGAGCAGGAAAGCGGGGGACCUUCGGGCCUCGCGCUCUUGGAGCGGCCGAUGUCGGAUUAGCUAGUUGGUGAGGUAAAGGCUCACCAAGGCGACGAUCCGUAGCAGGUCUGAGAGGAUGAUCUGCCACACUGGAACUGAGACACGGUCCAGACUCCUACGGGAGGCAGCAGUGGGGAAUUUUGGACAAUGGGGGCAACCCUGAUCCAGCCAUGCCGCGUGAGUGAAGAAGGCC
rnacentral:rRNA from 5 species